rnacentral:rRNA from 1 species
CCGGAAGCAUGGCAGGCUGUGAUGGCUGCUACUAAUGCAAAUACUCAGCUGAUCAUGCAAAUCAUCCAAGAGCGGAAUCAAAGCAGUCAAGCGAAUCAAGGCAGCAACCAGAACCAGUUUGCAACUCUGCAUCAGUUCCUCGCAAAUGGUCCAAAGACGUUCAGUAACUGCGUUGAGGCUACCGAUGCUGAUGAUUGGUUAGUCGAUCUGGGCAAGCAUUUUGAAUGUAGCAACGUCAGACCUGAAGAUUUCGUCAAGUUCGCGUCUUUCCAGCUCAAGGAUCAGGCCGCAGAGUGGUUUCAGCAGUACCGGGAUUCC